rnacentral:rRNA from 1 species
UUCCGGUUGAUCCUGCCGGAGGUUACUGCUAUCGGUGUUCGCCUAAGCCAUGCGAGUCAUAUGUAGCAAUACAUGGCGUACUGCUCAGUAACACGUGGAUAACCUGCCCUUGGGACCGGCAUAACCCCGGGAAACUGGGGAUAAUUCCGGAUAACGCAUAUUUGCUGGAAUGCUUUAUGCGUCAAAAGGAUUCGUCUGCCCAAGGAUGGGUCUGCGGCCUAUCAGGUAGUAGUGGGUGUAAUGUACCUACUAGCCAGCGACGGGUACGGGUUGUGAGAGCAAGAGCCCGGAGAUGGAUUCUGAGACAUGAAUCCAGGCCCUACGGGGCGCAGCAGGCGCGAAAACUUUACAAUGCGGGAAACCGUGAUAAGGGGACACCGAGUGCCAGCAUCAUAUGCUGGCCGUCCGGAUGUGUAAAAUACAUCCGUUAGCAAGGGCCGGGCAAGAACGGUGCCAGCCGCCGCGGUAACACCGGCGGCCGAGUGGUGAUCGUGAUUAUUGGGUCUAAAGGGUCCGUAGCGGUUGGUCAGUCCUCCGGGAAAUCUGAUAGCUCAACUAUUAGCUUCGGGGAUACUGCAGAUUGGAACGGGAGAGUAGAGUACUACAGGGUAGAGUGAAUCUGUAUCCUGUGGACACUUGCAAGGUUUUACAAACGGUCACGUAGGACA